rnacentral:rRNA from 1 species
GCAUAUCAAUAAGCGGAGGAAAAGAAACCAACCGGGAUUGCCUCAGUAACGGCGAGUGAAGCGGCAAGAGCUCAAAUUUGAAAGCUGGCCCCUUCGGGGUCCGCGUUGUAAUUUGCAGAGGAUGCUUCGGGUGCGGCCCCUGUCUAAGUGCCCUGGAACGGGCCGUCAGAGAGGGUGAGAAUCCCGUCUUGGGCAGGGUGCCCGUGCCCGUGUGAAGCUCCUUCGACGAGUCGAGUUGUUUGGGAAUGCAGCUCUAAAUGGGUGGUAAAUUUCAUCUAAAGCUAAAUACCGGCCGGAGACCGAUAGCGCACAAGUAGAGUGAUCGAAAGAUGAAAAGCACUUUGAAAAGAGAGUUAAACAGCACGUGAAAUUGUUGAAAGGGAAGCGCUUGCGACCAGACUCGGCCCCGGGGUUCAGCCAGCACUCGUGCUGGUGUACUUCCCCGGGGGCGGGCCAGCGUCGGUUUGGGCGGCCGGUCAAAGGCCCCAGGAAUGUAUCGCCCUCCGGGGUUGUCUUAUAGCCUGGGGUGCAAUGCGGCCAGCCCGGACCGAGGAACGCGCUUCGGCACGGACGCUGGCGUAAUGGUCGCAAACGACCCGUCUUGAAACACGGACCAAGGAGUCUAACAUCUACGCGAGUGUUCGGGUGUCAAACCCGUACGCGCAGUGAAAGCGAACGGAGGUGGGAGCCCCCCCGGGGCGCACCAUCGACCGAUCCUGAUGUCUUCGGAUGGAUUUGAGUAAGAGCGUAGCUGUGGGGACCCGAAAGAUGGUGAACUAUGCCUGAAUAGGGCGAAGCCAGAGGAAACUCUGGUGGAGGCUCGCAGCGGUUCUGACGUGCAAAUCGAUCGUCAAAUUUGGGUAUAGGGGCGAAAGACUAAUCGAACCAUCUGGUAGCUGGUUCCUGCCGAG